rnacentral:rRNA from 1 species
UACGGAGGGUGCAAGCGUUGUCCGGAAUCAUUGGGUGUAAAGGGUGCGUAGGCGGAAGCUUAAGUCGGGGGUGAAAUCCUGCCGCUCAACGGCAGAAUGGCCUUCGAUACUGGGUUUCUUGAGUCCGGAAGAGGUUGGUGGAAUUCGUGGUGUAGCGGUGAAAUGCAUAGAUAUCACGAAGAACACCGGUGGCGAAGGCGGCCAACUGGUCCGGUACUGACGCUGAGGCACGAGAGCGUGGGGAGCGAACAGG